rnacentral:rRNA from 1 species
AUACGGAGGGUCCGAGCGUUAUCCGGAAUCAUUGGGUUUAAAGGGUCCGUAGGCGGGAAUCUAAGUCAGUGGUGAAAUCUUGCAGCUCAACUGUAAAAUUGCCAUUGAUACUGGAUUUCUUGAAUUAGUGUGAAGUGGUUAGAAUGUGUAGUGUAGCGGUGAAAUGCAUAGGUAUUACACAGAAUACCAACUGCGAAGGCAGAUCACUAACACUAUAUUGACGCUGAGGGACGAAAGCGUGGGGAGCGAACAGGAUUAGAAACCCCAGUAGUCC